rnacentral:rRNA from 1 species
GACGAACGCUGGCGGCGUGCUUAACACAUGCAAGUCGAACGGUAAGGCCCUUCGGGUACACGAGUGGCGAACGGGUGAGUAACACGUGGGUGAUCUGCCCUGCACUUCGGGAUAAGCCUGGGAAACUGGGUCUAAUACCGGAUAGGACCAUGGACUUCACGGUUUGUGGUGGAAAGCUUUUGCGGUGUGGGAUGGGCCCGCGGCCUAUCAGCUUGCUGGUGGGGUAAUGGCCUACCAAGGCGACGACGGGUAGCCGGCCUGAGAGGGUGUCCGGCCACACUGGGACUGAGAUACGGCCCAGACUCCUACGGGAGGCAGCAGUGGGGAAUAUUGCACAAUGGGCGCAAGCCUGAUGCAGCGACGCCGCGUGAGGGAUGACGGCCUUCGGUUGGUAAACCUACUUCUAAUAGGACGAAGCGC